GUCUGCCGAACAGCGUGUCUCUGACCGAAGGUCACUGUUUGAUCGUCCCCGUCCAGCAUCACACAUCGGCCACGGGUCUGGACGAGGACAUCUGGAGCCAAAUACAGUGUCAUCAGGAGAGCAGCUGUUGUGCUGGGGUCAGAAGGACAGCACAGACGAGCUGAUGUUUUAUGAGGGUGUUUAACAGCACUGUCACAGAUCGCUCAGGGGUCACAGUGCUGCACAGACACAGACUGCCAGAGAUCUCCAUUGGAUUUACACUGGAGGCGUUCUCCAGUACAUGCCACACACAGGU